rnacentral:rRNA from 1 species
AAAUGAAUUAAGGCGUACGGUGGAGACCUAGGCACUCAGAGACGAAGAAGGGCGCAGAUACCGGCGAUACGCUUCGGGGAGCUGGCAACAAGCUGUGAUCCGGAGAUUCCCGAAUAGGGCAACCUCAUAGAACUACCUAUAUAAUUCAUAGUUAGGUAAGAGGCAACCCAGUGAACUGAAACAUCUAAGUAGCUGGAGGAAAAGAAAGCAAACGCGAUUCCCGUAGUAGCGGCGAGCGAACCGGGAACAGCCUAAACCUAUGUCGAAAGAUGUAGGGGUUAUGGGAGGACCCCCAUAAGGGGCAAUAAAUUAUUACUGCACCCACCUUUAUAAAGGUGGGGGGGGUCAUAAUUUUAAAAAUUUAAAAUUUUAAAUACGAAGCAGCUGAAUCCUGCACCAUAGAUGGUGAAAGU